UUGUGGCUAGGGGUGAAAUUCCAAUCGAACCCGGAGAUAGCUGGUUCUCCCCGAAAUAGCUUUAGGGCUAGCGUUAUGGAGAAGAGUUAUACGAAGGUAGAGCACUGAAUGGGUGAGGGCCUCAUCUCGAGGUACUGAUCUCAAUCAAACUCCGAAUGUCGUAUAAUAUACAUAGCAGUAAGACUAUGGGUGAUAAGGUUCAUAGUCAAAAGGGAAACAGCCCAGACCGCCAGUUAAGGUCCCAAAAUUAUGCUAAGUGGGAAAGGAGGUGGAGUCGCAUAGACAACUAGGAGGUUGGCUUAGAAGCAGCCAUCCUUUAAAGAGUGCGUAAUAGCUCACUAGUCGAGUGAUUCUGCGCCGAAAAUGUAUCGGGGCUAAGCAUAAUACCGAAGCUGCGGAAUUAGGAAAGAAAGCCUAAUUGGUAGGGGAGCGUACUAAACACGAAGAAGGUUGACCGGGAGGGCAGCUGGAGAGUUUAGCAGUGAGAAUGCCGGUGUGAGUAGCGAUAAGAUGGGUGAGAAUCCCAUCCGUCGGAAGCCUAAGGGUUCCAGGGGUAAGGCUCGUCCGCCCUGGGUAAGUCGGGACCUAAGGUGAGGCCGAAAGGCGUAGCUGAUGGAUAUCAGGUUGAUAAUCCUGGACCACCAUAGAGCUGAAGGAGUGACGGAGGAGGGAAGUUAGGAUGGACUGGUGGAAUAGUCUAAUGAAGCACAAAGAGGGAUACGUAGGAAAAACCGCGUAUUAGAACCUUGAAGUGUAAACCGCAAGGCCUAAUGGACCACACUUCCAAGAAAAGCUUCUAGGAAUACUUUAUGGUGCCCGUACCGUAAACGGACACACGUAGGCGAGGAGAGAAUCCAAAGACGCGCGAGAUAAUUCUUGUUAAGGAACUCUGCAAAAUGACCCUGUAACUUCGGGAUAAAGGGGACUCUAGAGAUAGAGGCGCAGAAAAUAGGCCCAAGCGACUGUUUAACAAAAACAUAGGUUUCUGCUAAAGCGAAAGCUGAUGUAUAGGAGCUGACGCCUGCCCAGUGCUGGAAGGUUAAGAGGAGAUGUAAGUCGCAAGGCAAAGCAUUGAAUUGAAGCCCCAGUAAACGGCGGCCGUAACUAUAACGGUCCUAAGGUAGCGAAAUUCCUUGUCAGGUAAGUUCUGACCCGCACGAAAGGCGUAACGAUUUGGGCGCUGUCUCAACAAGAAACUCGGUGAAAUCAUAGUACCUGUGAAGAUGCAGGUUACCCGCGAUCAGACGGUAAGACCCCAUGGAGCUUCACUGCAGCUUAAUAUUGAUAUUGGGUGUGUGAUGUACAGGAUAGGUGGGAGACGAGGAAGCGAGUACGCUAGUAUUCGUGGAGUCAACGUUGGGAUACCACCCUUCAUACAUUUAGUAUCUAACUAGUAUCCAUGAGCUGGGUAUAGAACAGUGUUAGGUGGGCAGUUUGACUGGGGCGGUCGCCUCCCAAAAAGUAACGGAGGCGCCCAAAGGUUCCCUCAGAAUGGUUGGAAAUCAUUCAAAGAGUGCAAAGGCAGAAGGGAGCUUGACUGCGAGACGGACAGGUCGAGCAGGAACGAAAGUUGGGCUUAGUGAACCGGCUGUACUGAAUGGAAAGGCAGUCGAUCAACGGACAAAAGCUACCCUGGGGAUAACAGGCUGAUCUCCCCCAAGAGUUCACAUCGACGGGGAGGUUUGGCACCUCGAUGUCGGCUCGUCGCAUCCUGGGGCUGGAGAAGGUCCCAAGGGUUGGGCUGUUCGCCCAUUAAAGUGGCACGCGAGCUGGGUUCAGAACGUCGUGAGACAGUUCGGUCCCUAUCUGUCGUGGGCGUAGGAAAUUUGAAGGGAGUCGUCCCUAGUACGAGAGGACCAGGAUGAACGUACCGCUGGUGAAUCAGUUGGCCUGCCAGGGCCACAGCUGGGUAGCUACGUACGGCCGGGAUAAACGCUGAAAGCAUCUAAGCGUGAAGCCCCCCCUGAGAUGAGAUUUCCCAUUAGAGAUAAGUAAGACCCCUUAGAGAUGAUGAGGUAGAUAGGUCAGAGAUGUAAGCACUGUGAGGUGUUGAGUUGACUGAUACUAAUAGGUCGAGGACUUAACCU
rnacentral:rRNA from 1 species